rnacentral:tRNA from 1 species
GGACCCGUAGCCUAGUGGAUAGGGCAGCUGCCUUCUAAUGCUUCCACGGAGGAAAGCAGCAGGUCGAGGGUUCGAAUCCCUCCGGGUCCG